rnacentral:rRNA from 1 species
GAUGAACGCUGGCGGCGUGCCUAACACAUGCAAGUCGAACGGAGUUACGAGAGCUUGCUUUGUAACUUAGUGGCGGACUGGUGAGUAACGCGUGAGGAACCUGCCUUUCAGAGGGGGACAACAGUUGGAAACGACUGCUAAUACCGCAUGACACAUCGAUGGGGCAUCCCGUUGAUGUCAAAGAUUUAUCGCUGAAAGAUGGCCUCGCGUCUGAUUAGAUAGUUGGCGGGGUAACGGCCCACCAAGUCGACGAUCAGUAGCCGGACUGAGAGGUUGACCGGCCACAUUGGGACUGAGAUACGGCCCAGACUCCUACGGGAGGCAGCAGUGGGGAAUAUUGGGCAAUGGACGCAAGUCUGACCCAGCAACGCCGCGUGAAGGAAGAAGGCUUUCGGGUUGUAAACUUCUUUUGUCAGGGAAGAGCAGAAGACGGUACCUGACGAAUAAGCCACGGCUAACUACGUG